CAGCCCGGGCGGGGCGCCCGCGGCCUUGCUACCCGCCGCCCGCUCCGCCCCACGGGCCGCUUCCUGCGCCGCCUGGCUGGGCGGCCACCUGCCCUGCGCUGGGCUCGCGUCGGAAGCCCCCAGCCCGGGAGCGCCGGUUUCCCUAAACGCCUCGUACCAGUGGGUGAGAAAAAUACCAGAUCAGAAAAAGAAAAAUGAAGUGUGUUAUCAUUAGAUGCUCGAAAAACAUGGCCAGAAGAAAGCCAGGAGGAGACCGUGAUAAGUCGACUCCAGGGCAGAAGUGGAAGCAGGCCUGUGAGGCCCUGGCUGCCAGAUUCCGAAGCAAAAGGAAGCAGUUGCUGCAAACUGUAUUUGAUUAUGGAUAAUGGAAGGCCAAGAAGAGUUGGAACCAGGCGGGGUGAAUGCCCCAGAACUAAUCCCUUUCCAAAGGACAGAAGUGAGAGAAAGGAUCAGAAUUUGAAAUAAAGCUACUUAGAAAGGGAAAGGGGCUGAAACAAAGUCAGGAGGAAAGUUGGUAUUUAAGGCAUGCAGAGAAUGGACUCUGAAAGAGUAGGCAGGAUGUUGGAGCAGCGGGGAUAUAAAC
rnacentral:lncRNA from 1 species